rnacentral:tRNA from 1 species
GGAGAGAUGGCCGAGUCGGCUGAAGGCGGUCGCCUGCUAAGCGACUAUGGGGUCAUAAAGCUCCAUCGCGGGUUCGAAUCCCGCCCUCUCCG